ensembl:snRNA U6 U6 spliceosomal RNA
AUGCUCGAUUCAGCAGCCCAUAUACUAAAAUUGGAAUGAUACAGACAAGAUUAGCAUGGCCCCUGUGCAAGGAUGACAUGCAAAUUCCAUAUUUUAUAAAAAAAUCA